GGUACAAAAUAAACGGAUUUGCCCCAGUGUAGGGCUGGGGGCUAACUAGAAAAGAUGUUCAGUUGUGUGUCCCACACAAGCAUUUUAUAGGCUCAGUACCAUUCCUCCUCCAUUUACUCUAAUUACCUGGUUUUAAUCUAAGAUAUUGGUGAAGAACAUGGAACUCUGGUUCAAGUUUCCAUUCACUGGUUGUGGACUCACAGGACUGUGGAGCUAUUCACCAUCUCCAGAAGGAACCGUUUAUGUCCAGAAGCUAUCUGGGCCAAGAAAUUUCCUGACAUGGGAGUUUCCUAAAAUGAUUCAUUCUUCCACCUGUGAGACAAGAACCAAGCUCUCCCACUUCAAGACUAAGCAAGUAGACAGAUCAGCCGGACAGAGAAAUGAGGUAGCUCCUAAUGCCAAAAGAGCUAAAAGACUGAUGCUGUUCAAUGCUGCUUCAAAAUCCUCCAAUGCAGUGUGAGUCAAUCAUACAGUGAUUUGUAAACUUGAAAAUGGCCUCCAUUUACAUCUUGUCAGAAGCCAUAACAGUUCACUUCCUCUAGAGAAGAAAAUAAUAAUAAACAGAAAUAUCAAAAGGAAAUUGCCUUUACA
rnacentral:lncRNA from 12 species